rnacentral:lncRNA from 1 species
CUAAGUUAUCCUUUUUUCUUCGUCUUAAGAUCUGUCUCCAGUGACCUGCAGCCUAUGCGUCCUUCAUUCCUUCAACGGCCUCCUGUCUCAACGGGAUCAAGCGGACUCCAAUGGCCUUUCUGUAUGGAUCUUGAUCUUCUUUCUUAGAAAUAAAGAUAAUUUUAGGUUUCUCUUUCCUUUCUAUGGGGUUGUUUGUUUAUGAUUGAUGAUGUAUUGAUUUCUGGUUUCGAGCUUAAGAGAAUUUAGC